GACGAACGCUGGCGGCGUGCUUAACACAUGCAAGUCGAACGGUCAAGCGCCUUCCUUUUUGGUGGGUGUGGAUGAGUGGCGAACGGGUGAGGAACACGGGAGUAACCUGCCCCCUUCUUCUGGAUAACCGCAUGAAAGUGUGGCUAAUACGGGAUAUUCUGGGUCUGUCGCAUGAUGGGUCUGGGAAAGAUAUUGUUUCGGUUGGGGAUGGGCUCGCGGCCUAUCAGCUUGUUGGGGUGGUGAUGGCCUACCAAGGCGAUGAAGAGUAGCCGGCCUGAGAGGGUCGACGGCAUCGCGAGGACUGCGACACGGAAAAGACUACGACGGGCGGCAGUAGUGGAGAAUAUGGAACAGUGGGCAGAAGGAUGGAGCAGCGCCGCGGCGUGGAGGAUGGAGUCCGUAGCGUUGAGAACCGCUUUCGGCAGAGAAGAGGGCAUGCAGCGAUUGUGGGGCGGUUGACGGUAGCUGGCUAGGAAGCGACGGCUAACUACGUG
rnacentral:rRNA from 1 species